rfam:Ruminococcus sp. CAG:724 genomic scaffold, scf275
ACAGAGAACUCUGGAGAAACCCGUUUGGGUGCCGAAGGUGCAAGGCAAAAGCCGAAUCUCUCAGGCAAAAGGACAGAGCAAAUUUU